AGACUGCACGCUGCUGCAGGUGAUCCGGUUCGUGACGAACGACCGGAUUUAAACGGGAAGCCGGUGAAAAGCCGGCGCUGCCCCCGCAACGGUCAGCGAGAGAAGAUCAGGUCACGAUGCCACUGGAGCCAUGGCUUCCGGGAAGGCGACCCGAUCGGCAGGGCGACCCCUGCACUCGCGAGCCCGGAUACCGGCCUGAAGCAUGCGCACUGG
rnacentral:ncRNA from 2 species